GGCCUAACACAUGCAAGUCGAGCGGAUGAUGGGAGCUUGCUCCCGGAUUCAGCGGCGGACGGGUGAGUAAUGCCUAGGAAUCUGCCUGGUAGUGGGGGACAACGUUUCGAAAGGAACGCUAAUACCGCAUACGUCCUACGGGAGAAAGCAGGGGACCUUCGGGCCUUGCGCUAUCAGAUGAGCCUAGGUCGGAUUAGCUAGUUGGUGGGGUAAAGGCCUACCAAGGCGACGAUCCGUAACUGGUCUGAGAGGAUGAUCAGUCACACUGGAACUGAGACACGGUCCAGACUCCUACGGGAGGCAGCAGUGGGGAAUAUUGGACAAUGGGCGAAAGCCUGAUCCAGCCAUGCCGCGUGUGUGAAGAAGGUCUUCGGAUUGUAAAGCACUUUAAGUUGGGAGGAAGGGCAGUAAGUUAAUACCUUGCUGUUUUGACGUUACCAACAGAAUAAGCACCGGCUAACUUCGUGCCAGCAGCCGCGGUAAUACGAAGGGUGCAAGCGUUAAUCGGAAUUACUGGGCGUANAGCGCGCGUAGGUGGUUUGGUAAGAUGGAUGUGAAAUCCCCGGGCUCAACCUGGGAACUGCAUUCCAUACUGCCUGAC
rnacentral:rRNA from 1 species